UGCUUCAUAUGUAAAUAUUGUUCUUGACAUAGAUUAGGUAAAUAAAAUUAAAGCAAAACCAAAGAAUGAUGGAAUAUUUCGUACACUCUGACACUCUGUAAAGUAAAUGAUUAUAUAUUUAAUACAUUGCUACUCCAGUACAUCAUACGGAAGUCCGCUGGCUUUCGAAAGGGAAUUGCUUACGGCGGUUCUGCAGUCUCAUGGAUACUGUUAUCGAAUUUCUUAUAACUACUGACCCCACAC
rnacentral:lncRNA from 1 species